AACGAACGCUGGCGGCAUGCCUAACACAUGCAAGUCGAACGAGCCUUUCGGGCUUAUUUUCGCAGGGGGGGGUAGUGCCUGGCAAGCGGGUUACAGGUUCGGAAUAACCCCCAGAAUUUUGGGUUAACACCGGAUAGUGUCUUCGAACCAAGGAGUUGUCGCCUUUUGGUGGGGGUGCGUUUGGUUAGCUUGUUGCUGGGGUGAGGGCCUGGCAAGGCGACGAUCCAUCGCUGGUUUGAGAGGAUGGUCGGCCACACUGGGACUGAGACACGGCCGAGACUACUACGGGAGGAAGCAGUGGGGAAUAUUGGACCAUGGGCGAAAGCCUGAUCCAGCAAUGCCGCGUGAGUGAUGAAGGCCUUAGGGUUGUAAAGCUCUUUUACCCGGGAUGAUAAUGACAGUAUCGGGAGAAUAAGCUCCGGCCAACUCCGUG
rnacentral:rRNA from 1 species